ACACUACGUUCUUCCGUAGGUGGGGUUCACUUUUGAGUACGUCCCUCGUCUAACACUACGUUUCCGUAGGUGAGGUUCACUCUUGCCGAUGUGUUCCCCGUCUAACACUACGUUCUUCCGUAGGUGGGGUUCACUUUUGAGUACGUCCCUCGUCUAACACUACGUUUCCGUAGGUGACGUUCACUCUUGCCGAUGUGUUCCCCGUCUAACACUACGUUCUUCCGUAGGUGGGGUUCACUUUUUGAGUACGUCCCUCGUCUAACACUACGUUUCCGUAGGUGAGGUUCACUCUUGCCGAUGUGUUCCCCGUCUAACACUACGUUCUUCCGUAGGUGGGGUUCACUUUUGAGUACGUCCCUCGUCUAACACUACGUUUCCGUAGGUGAGGUUCACUCUUUGCUUUGGAUGGGAUACGCAUCCUGACUCUGUUACCAUUAAGACUUUCUCUAUCCGCGUUCUUCCGCAGGUAGAGUUAAUUUGGCGUCCUACUUUGUUACUGCGUCCAGUAAUAGUAGGAGUUCAAAUAUCUUUAUAUGGCUCAGCUCAUUUUGCUGUCGUAUCUCCGUCCGAGUUGUGGACUUCCACGAUUCCUCAGGAGCUUUUUGUGUUACACCCUCCUGUCUUGGUUUGCCUCUGCAAUUCCAACUUGUCUGGGUUCUUUUUUCUGCACCCCUUUUAUGUGGGAGGAAAAAGUCGAUCCUUUGUUGGUUUUGGUCGACUUUUGCUAAAUGUCGAUCCCCUGUUGAAUUUCCUCGACUUUUGCUGAAUGUCGAUCUUUUGUUAAGUUU
rnacentral:lncRNA from 1 species